UACGGGGGGGGCAAGCGUUGUUCGGAAUUACUGGGCGUAAAGGGCUCGUAGGCGGCCAACUAAGUCAGACGUGAAAUCCCUCGGCUUAACCGGGGAACUGCGUCUGAUACUGGAUGGCUUGGAUUUGGGAGAGGGAUGCGGAAUUCCAGGUGUAGCGGUGAAAUGCGUAGAUAUCGGGAGGAACACCAGUGGCGAAGGCGACUACCUGGCCUGUUCUUGACGCUGAGGCGCGAAAGCUAGGGGAGCAAACGGG
rnacentral:rRNA from 1 species